GGGAAAUGGCAGCACAAGUCCUGUUUCUUCUUCUAUCCAGUUCAAUGAGCAAGUUGUGUAUUCAUGCGACAACGGCUUCCGUCUUGUGGGUGAAGACAGAGCUCUUUGUGAUUCAAGUGGUACUCUGAAUGCUGUACCUCCCAAGUGCCAAGAUAUCGAUGAGUGUACGGCUGGCGUUGAUGAUUGUGAUGCAAUGGCAUCAUGUACGAACAUCAUUGGUUCAUUUGAAUGUUCGUGUAAGAGUGGCUAUUAUGGCAACGGGACAUCAUGUGAAGAUAUUGAUGAGUGUACCGCUGGCGUUGAUGAUUGUGAUGCAAUGGCAUCAUGUAGCAACACCAUUGGUUCAUUUGAAUGUUCGUGUAAGAGUGGCUAUUAUGGCAACGGGACAUCAU